GAUGAACGCUAGCUACAGGCUUAACACAUGCAAGUCGAGGGGCAGCAUGGUCUUAGCUUGCUAAGGCCGAUGGCGACCGGCGCACGGGUGAGUAACACGUAUCCAACCUGCAGUCUACUCUUGGACAGCCUUCUGAAAGGAAGAUUAAUACAAGAUGGCAUCAUGAGUUCACAUGUUCACAUGAUUAAAGGUAUUCCGGUAGACGAUGGGGAUGCGUUCCAUUAGAUAGUAGGCGGGGUAACGGCCCACCUAGUCUUCGAUGGAUAGGGGUUCUGAGAGGAAGGUCCCCCACAUUGGAACUGAGACACGGUCCAAACUCCUACGGGAGGCAGCAGUGAGGAAUAUUGGUCAAUGGGCGAGAGCCUGAACCAGCCAAGUAGCGUGAAGGAUGACUGCCCUAUGGGUUGUAAACUUCUUUUAUAAAGGAAUAAAGUCGGGUAUGUAUACCCGUUUGCAUGUACUUUAUGAAUAAGGAUCGGCUAACUCCGUG
rnacentral:rRNA from 1 species